AUAUAUGUUCUAGCCUAUGCUCUAUAGCUUUCAUUUCACUUCAUUUACAAACUGAAAAUUGUCGAGCUCCGGUGAAAACAAACAUUUUUCCAACAAACAAAUUAAAAUUAAAAACUCAACCAUGAGUACCAGCACAAAUCAGCUUGGACUGCGGAUCUGUCAGCUUAUUCAGAGCCAAAGCCAGCCAAUUAACUAUGAACGACUUAUAUCUCUAAUCGAAGAAGGACAAAACGAGCCGUUGAAUACACAGGAAAUAACCAAAAUAAAUGCCGCAUUGCGAGCUGGCCUGCGCCGUGGCUUUUUUCAACGCGUUCGUGGAAAGUUUUCUGUGUCUCCCUGCCUUCAAUAAGUUUCAAGUAGAAAGAAGCACAAGAAGAUGAAGCUCAAACAGAAUCAAAAUUAAAGCAGAAUAAGCUGAAUAUAUUUGUUGAGAUUUGUAGUCAAAAAAUAUAAUUGUAAAUGUAUCUACCCCAA